rnacentral:rRNA from 1 species
UACGAGGGGGGCGAGCGUUGUUCGGAAUUAUUGGGCGUAAAGGGUGCGUAGGCGGUUCCGCAAGUCCUGUGUGAAAUCUUCGGGCUCAACUCGAAGUCUGCACGGGAAACUGCGGGGCUUGAGUGUGGGAGAGGUGAGUGGAAUUCCCGGUGUAGCGGUGAAAUGCGUAGAGAUCGGGAGGAACACCAGUGGCGAAGGCGGGUCUCUGGGCCGAUACUGACGCUGAGGAGCGAAAGCGUGGGGAGCAAACAGG